rnacentral:tRNA from 1 species
GACCACCUGGCUCAAUGGUAGAGCGUUCGACUCAAUUAAGAAAGGUCACGGGUUCGAAUCUCGGGUGAUCC